rnacentral:piRNA from 1 species
UAUACAGGCUAACGGGCAUACCGCUGAA